UACAGAGGCCCCAAGCGUUACUGAGAAUCACUGGGUUUAAAGGGUGCGUAGGUGGUCCGUUAAGUCAGUUGUGAAAUCCCCGGGCUCAACCCGGGAACUGCUUCUGAUACUGGCGGACUUGAGGCCAGUAGGGGUCACUAGAACUGACGGUGGAGCGGUGAAAUGCGUAGAUAUCGUCAGGAAUGCCGGUGGUGAAGACGGGUGACUGGGCUGGUUCUGACACUGAGGCACGAAAGCGUGGGGAGCGAACAGG
rnacentral:rRNA from 1 species